GAUGAACGCUGGCGGCGUGCCUAAUACAUGCAAGUCGAGCGAACGGACGAGAAGCUUGCUUCUCUGAUGUUAGCGGCGGACGGGUGAGUAACACGUGGAUAACCUACCUAUAAGACUGGGAUAACUUCGGGAAACCGGAGCUAAUACCGGAUAAUAUUUUGAACCGCAUGGUUCAAAAGUGAAAGACGGUCUUGCUGUCACUUAUAGAUGGAUCCGCGCUGCAUUAGCUAGUUGGUAAGGUAACGGCCUACCAAGGCAACGAUGCAUAGCCGACCUGAGAGGGUGAUCGGCCACACUGGACCUGAGACACGGUCCAGACUCCUACGGAGGCAGCAGUAGGGAAUCUUCCGCAAUGGGCGAAAGCCUGACGGAGCAACGCCGCGUGAGUGAUGAAGGUCUUCGGAUCGUAAAACUCUGUUAUUAGGGAAGAACAUAUGUGUAAGUAACUGUGCACAUCUUGACGGUACCUAAUCAGAAAGCCACGGCUAACUACGUG
rnacentral:rRNA from 1 species